UCCGUUCUCCGCCCGAAGUUGCCCAUUC
rnacentral:sRNA from 1 species